GCAUAUCAAUAAGCGGAGGAAAAGAAACCAACAGGGAUUGCCCUAGUAACGGCGAGUGAAGCGGCAACAGCUCAAAUUUGAAAUCUGGCGCAAGCCCGAGUUGUAAUUUGUAGAGGAUGCUUCUAGGUAGCGACCGGUCUAAGUUCCUUGGAACAGGACGUCAUAGAGGGUGAGAAUCCCGUAUGUGACCGGCCCGCACCUUCUACGUAGCUCCUUCGACGAGUCGAGUUGUUUGGGAAUGCAGCUCUAAAUGGGAGGUAAAUUUCUUCUAAAGCUAAAUACCGGCCAGAGACCGAUAGCGCACAAGUAGAGUGAUCGAAAGAUGAAAAGCACUUUGGAAAGAGAGUUAAAAAGCACGUGAAAUUGUUGAAAGGGAAGCGCUUACAACCAGACUUCUGGGCGGUGUUCCGCCGGUCUUCUGACCGGUCUACUCGCCGUCCCGAGGCCAACAUCAUCUGGGACCGCUGGAUAAGACCUCAGGAAUGUAGCUUCCCUCGGGAAGUGUUAUAGCCUGUGGUGAUGCAGCGCGUCUCGGGUGAGGUCCGCGCUUCGGCAAGGAUGUUGGCGUAAUGGUUGUCAGCGGCCCGUCUUGAAACACGGACCAAGGAGUCUAACAUCUAUGCGAGUGUUCGGGUGUCAAACCCCUACGCGUAAUGAAAGUGAACGGAGGUGGGAAGCGCAAGCUGCACCAUCGACCGAUCCUGAUGUCCUCGGAUGGAUUUGAGUAAGAGCAUAGCUGUUGGGACCCGAAAGAUGGUGAACUAUGCCUGAAUAGGGUGAAGCCAGAGGAAACUCUGGUGGAGGCUCGCAGCGGUUCUGACGUGCAAAUCGAUCGUCAAAUUUGGGUAUAGGGGCGAAAGACUAAUCGAACCAU
rnacentral:rRNA from 1 species